GAUGAACGCUGGCGGCGUGCCUAGUACAUGCAAGUCGAGCGAACAGACGAGGAGCUUGCUCCUCUGACGUUAGCGGCGGACGGGUGAGUAACACGUGGAUAACCUACCUAUAAGACUGGGAUAACUUCGGGAAACCGGAGCUAAUACCGGAUAAUAUAUUGAACCGCAUGGUUCAAUAGUGAAAGAUGGUUUUGCUGUCACUUAUAGAUGGAUCCGCGCCGCAUUAGCUAGUUGGUAAGGUAACGGCUUACCAAGGCAACGAUGCGUAGCCGACCUGAGAGGGUGAUCGGCCACACUGGAACUGAGACACGGUCCAGACUCCUACGGGAGGCAGCAGUAGGGAAUCUUCCGCAAUGGGCGAAAGCCUGACGGAGCAACGCCGCGUGAGUGAUGAAGGUCUUCGGAUCGUAAAACUCUGUUAUUAGGGAAGAACAAAUGUGUAAGUAACUAUGCACGUCUUGACGGUACCUAAUCAGAAAGCCACGGCUAACUACGUG
rnacentral:rRNA from 1 species